CGGUAACCUCCAUCCGGAGCAAGACCAAAUAGGCAGACGAUGACGCUGCUCGCCGAGUCUGCGGGUAGGUUGCUUGAGUGCAGGGGUAACCCUGCACCUAGAGGAAUGACUGUCCAAGACAGAACCCGGCUUACCGGUCAGCUUCGCUU
rnacentral:RNase_P_RNA from 1 species